UCCAGCAUUGAGUAUGGUUAUCACUGGAUUUGGCCCAGAGAGGGUGAGAGGCCCGUACGAGUGGAGGCUCAGACAUGUGAGACGGUUCACCAGGUCGACCUCAGAGUCGGGUUGUUUGAGAUUGCAGCCCAAAGUGGGUGGUAAACUCCAUCCAAGGCUAAAUACUGGCACGAGUCCGAUAGCGAACAAGUACCGUGAGGGAAAGUUGAAAAGUACUCUGAAGAGAGAGUAAACAGUACGUGAAACCGCAUGCAGGUAAACGGGUGGCGUCAAGCUGCGAGCCCGGAGAAUUCAGCUGGCCAGAUUGUAGUGCGCGUGCCUGUGGCGCCGAAGGGCCAGAGUAAGAUGUGGUAGUCCACUCCUCUCAUGGGGGUGGGGCGUGGCUGCGACCUCGGUUGUGGCUGUUGCUACGCGUGCCGAGUUGUGUGUCGGAGCGUGCUACUCGUCUGUGGGGCCGUCUGGUCAGUGCACUUUCUCCGUGGUGAACACCACGACCGGUGGUAUUGCCAGUCUACUGUGGUCAAGUCGUGUCCCUCUGGUGGCCCUGUUGUCCCUCGUUGGAUGAUGGUGGCUGCUUGGGGGACGCGAUCGCAGAUGGGAGGGAUGUACGGCGUGGCGGUGUUUCGGCGCUGUCGCGUGUUAUCGUGCAUUCACCGUCAACGGGGUGUUGGAGUGGGCUGUGAUCGCGCUCCUGGGCACCUCGGCGGGCCAUGGUGGUAAAAGUGACUGUGCAAGGCACCGUAUUCGACCGCCUCAGCUGGUGGGUUGGCCCUCUGGGUUGUCCCAUUGGCUCGUGGUAUCUGGCACGCACGUCACAGGUGCAAGAUACGGGGCGCGCCUCUGUCCGUGCGCGUUGGGCUUGGCUGGCGUGUUGCUCGCGCAAAGUGGGUCCGCUGGUGGUCCGGCGUGUUAUUGAUACAGUGGGCAGAGUUUGCGUGUCACCGGGUGCCACAUUUGCUAUGGAUACCGGGGGCGAGAUAGUCAGUGGUGCUGCGGUAGGCGAGCUACCCGACCCGUCUUGAAACACGGACCAAGGAGUUUAACAUGUGUGCGAGUCAGAGGGUCCUACGAAACCCCAAGGCGCAGUGAAAGUGAAGUCCGCGUUGCGUACCUAGGCACACUUGCGCGGUGCGUCGCGGCGAGGUGAGAUCCUGCUGUUUGCCUACUCACCGUCAGUUAAACCUGGCUAAUUAGGAGCAGUGGGCGCAUCACCGGCCCGUCCUAUGAUGUGAACAUUGGCAAUGGCGUGGUGGUGUGCGCGUGAGCGUGUGCUGCGGCGUCGGCUAAUGCGCCAUCGGGGCGGAGCAUGAGCACACAUG
rnacentral:rRNA from 1 species